rnacentral:lncRNA from 1 species
AAUGGCCCAAAAAUAGAAAGUUACACUUUCAAGCUUAACUAGUGAAAUUACCCGCGCAUUGCGGCGGAAUGAUACUAUAGAAUAUAAAAUAUAAAUAAAAUAAAAAUUUUAAAUUUUUUGAUUUGAUAUUGGACUUCAAUAAACACAAAUAUAAAAUAUAAAAUAGAUAUAGGUAUAGAUAUAACAAAAUUUAUAAUUUCGAUAAAUAAAUCACACAUAAUAAUAAUAAAAUAAGCAAUAAAAUUUUUUUUACCCCAUACACAUCUUCAUUGCACUAUCGACAUCGGAGAGGCAAAUUCCGAUCUUUACAUCGCCUUCGCCGCUAGUGUCCAGCUCCUCUUUAGUCACGACCAUAUCAAUCCCGUAUCCACAUCCACUACUUCUUCUCUCUCACUGACACCAAAUCCAUCACCGUUUUCUUCUGCAGCGCUCCGUCGCGAUCCUCGAAACCCUAAUUUCAAUCCACACACAACAAAAAAUUUUAAAAAGUUACAAAACAUGAGCCCUUUUUGUGCGCCAAGAAAAAAAGAAAAAAAAUAUAUGAAGAAAUGGAGAUUAAACCAUGUAAACAUAUUAAUUGAGAGAUAAGGGGGAGAGAAAAAAACAAUAUGAAAAAAAAGAUAUGAAGAAAUGGAGAUGAAACCAUGUAAACAUAUUAAUUGAGAGAUAGAGGGGUUAGGAAGAUGAAGCAUUGGGUGGAGAUGGUAUUAUGUAAACACAUUAAUUGAGUGGGGGUUUAGGAAGAUGAAACAUUGGGUGAAAAUGGAAGUGGAAAGAGAGAAGAGAAAAGAGUAAAGGAGAAUUCGCCACGUGGCAAAAAAUUAGGAGAAAUAAUGUAUAGGUAUAGAUAUAGAUAGCGUAGGGACCCGCACGAUGCGGCGAGUAAAAAUACUUUAGCAAAAAUCUACAGAGUACAGAUUUAACAAACAAAUAAAAAUGUUAAAAAGAAACAGAAGAAAUAUUUAAAAUAUUAUGAAAGAUAAUAAAUAAUGAAAGAAAAACUAAAGAAGCUCAAAUUCACAUUUAACUAAUCAUAUAAAGAUAUUUAUCUAUCCUAUCAUCUUUCCCAACUCAAAUUAGAUUUCUCUUAAAAGUCAAUUAUUAUUGCAUUUGCCUAUAGACAUCCAAAUUGUCAUGCCAUCAGAGAAUUAGUACGGAAUGUAAAAGAAUAGAAGAAAAAGUAUGAAGGAAUAUAUGAUAGUCAUCAAAUAAAUUUAAAAAUAAUAAUAGUUAGUUUUUAACUACCGUGAAAUUGUAAAAACCCACUUUUCAUAUAUCUAUAAGCCAACAAUCUAUAUAUUAUAUUUAGUUUGUUGAUGCAAAUACUAAUUUAAUCAGUUUUUUUGAUAAUUUUACUCCAUCAAUUUUUGUGUAACUCAAAUGACUUAUUCAUGAACAAUAAUGUACAACAAAAAAAAAAGAGAAAUAAUAUUUUUAGAAGUUGUAGCCUCUAUCCACGACUUAGAUCAAAAUAAUAAUAACCAAGUCCACCACUCUACAUAUGCACUGUAAUCGGUUAAUCUUCUGCUGCGGUUUUGGGAGAUGAGGGAUGUCGGGGGGUUGGGAGAUGAGGAGGGAGCAGUUUUGGAAGAUGAGGGGUCUCGGGGGUUGGAAGAUGAGAAGGGAGC